UUGAAUGACUCAAUAUGAACUCAAAUCAAACUUGCCUACUAAAAUCAAGGAAAUGAAUCCUGCACGCUUAAGCAUAUAUAUAAUACCUAUAAUAUUAAUAUACAUAAUAUAUACUUUUAAAAAAAAUUUCGAGUCUCUUAAAAAUUUGGAACCCAUAUGCUUUUGCUUUGCUUAAUCACUUAUUUUGGAUCUCCUUAUGGGGAAAAAAAAAAAAAACAUUGCUGCUGCUGCUGCCUCCCCCAUCCAGAUGCUCUUUAUUAUUGAACCACUGCAAUUUGCGACAUAUAUUUUUAUGCCUUUUUGCAAAAGAUGGGUUUGAC
rnacentral:lncRNA from 1 species